CUGAUAUCAAAAUAACAUUUAGGUUUUGUGCUACCUAGUGAUUAAAAUCACUGAUAAAAAUGCUAGAUUAGAUUUGUAGAUAGUGAUUAAUUUUAUGUAGUUGUUGGAUUAUUCCAAAAGCAACAUUCAACUCCUAUUUCCUUAAUUAUAUUCUUACUACAAGUUAUAUAAGUGUAAUACAUAAAUAAAAACUUAUUUUGUAAUUAAAUUUAGCAUGAAAUUUAUAUUCAAUAAUUUAAUAUUAUAACUUAUGGAGAAAUAUAAAGUUAUUGUAUAUUUUGUCUCCACGGAAAAGGCGUAUCACAAAUGCGCCUCAUGUGCUUCAAAACGACCAUUUACAUUAGCAAUUUAUCAUUUUAUGGUUUAGCAAUACGCCAUAAUUACAACUCCAUUGAAGAUAUGAAAAAUGAGAUAUGGGCCACAUUAUUUCACAAAAUUUUAUAAUAUAAUUUCUGCAUGGAAGCCAACGUUUUACUUGUUAAGCUUACUGAGCGAUUGUUAAAUGAUGCAGUAAAAGAGGUACGAUCUUUGCUAAAAUCGUUGAGAAAAGAAAAAGAAAAUAAAUUUUCUCACUUGAAAUGGCAGCUUUGUGGUCUUGAGAUUGCAGAUUAAUGGUUGAAAUUUACUCCAAUUCUGCUACUUGUGGCUACGGCGCGCUUUUUUAAGGCAAUGUCAGAAAACCACUGAACUGACGCCAUUUUGAACUAUUUUUCAAUGAAAAAAUUAUUUUUUAUACUUUAAUAUAUGGCCAAUAUAAUA